GAUACGAGCAGAAAAAAACCGCACGACCCAUGACCCUGCCCCAAUCCCAUCUUCCACCUCCAGCGCGCCGCCACCCUCGCCACGCCGCCGCGCGCCGCCUACCCCACCCACGUGGCCUUCCACCGCCGACGACAUUCGACGCUGCAUCCGUUGCCUGCUCCCCCAUCCCUGCUACCACGGCGCCGCUUGGACUCCAUCCCACUGCUUCCACCUCGGCAAUGGUUCCCCCAACCCCGCCGGCUUCGCCAUCCCGACGCACUCCACCACCCGUUAGACCAGUCUGCCUGGCUCCCGUGGCGACGGCGCACUCCACCACCCAUUGGACCAGUCCUCCUGGCUCCCGCGGUGAACAUCGCUGCAACCCCGCUGUCGCUUCCCACCACAGCCGCUGGCCUACUCCACCUGCACGCCACUUCCCGACUUCCCCUUGACGCGCCGCGUGCUCUCUAGCCUCCGGCUAGCUGUGACGCGAGGUGAGCUUGGUUGCUUAGCAAAGUGUGUGCAGGCCAUAUCGCUUCAGAGGAUUGGAAGUCAAAAUCUUGUAGCUAUAGGCUGUAGCUCUUCGGAUGAGAUGGGAGUGGAUGAGAAGAUCAGAUCCUAAUAUACCAUGGCAAGGAUUACUGGAAGCGGUGGAUGAUUUUGUACGUCAGCUCUUUAAUAGUUUGGUCAUAUUGAGUGAUGUGGGAGAUGGGCGUACAACUUUUUUUGGACUAACAAAUGGAUGGAAGGCUUUGAUGUUAGUGAUUUUGCGCCAUCCUUACUACUGAAGAUCAGUCCGCGCAUCCUGAAUAAGUGCACAGUCUGGGAAGCUCUCCAUAACCAUCGAUGGCUGCAAGAUAUUGCUAGCAUGGCGAGGUCCAUCCGAACGAACAGGUUCAGCUGGGCACCUUAUGGAUAGUUCUCAACUAUGUCCAACUUGACAAUGCUAGACCGGAUGUGUUUCAAUGUUCCGGUGGCGCGCAUUGUGUUGGUCAUAUUCGUGUCCUUCUGUGCUGGAUACCUCACUCAGCUUUGCCAAUCUAGCCUGAGUUCCUCUUCAAGGCAAUGCUUACUAAGUUCGUUGUGUGAAAUUUACAGGAGUUAUUUGAAGAAUGGACUCACUAUGCGGCUAGAUGUUCCCAUUGGAUGCCCUUGCAAGAAGGAUUGCUGCGGUGGGUACUGCAUCACGACCCCUCCUGCAUCAGGAAUCUGGUGAUCCUUAUGCAAAGGCCUAUGCCAAACUUACAGCACUUUUUGAACAAAGAAUGGACUCAUAUGCUAAUGUUGAUGCCCAAGUUUCCUUUGAAAGUAGUUCAAUAAUAAUAUAACACCAAUGUGGGAGGAGAAAUUGCUAUUGUUAUUCUGGUGAAAGCUGCAUUGGAGAAGAGUACGUGCAAAAGCAAUCAUGAUGCACGGUAAGUCCUCCUACUGAUUUCUGAACAAAAAACAGUCAUGAUGCCCUCUUCGUUGCUGAUAUUCUACAAUUACUGGAGUUGCAAUUCUUGGCAUGAUCAUAUGUGUACGCAAUGUGAAUAUACACGAGGUGGCGUAGCAGGAGUAGAAAAAGUGCAGCUCAAAGUGAGUGCACCUGUAUAAUUUCCUAGAAUUAUUUUCUUGGCAGAAGUUACUAUCUUCUCAUUAUGUAAUAGGACUGUAAAUUUAAAGAAGUAGAAAUUCACAAUUAAUACCAGUGUUAUAACUUAGGAGAGGGCUCAUGUGGAUCAACUGUUUUUCUCAGCCCAUGGGAGAUUGUUGGUAAGAUCAAGCCAUACCGCCCCCUUUGCACCUUGCUAUAUUGCAAGUCUUGAAAAGCCUUCUAGGUACCUGUAGAAGCAUUGUGAAGGAGGGACAAAAGUUUUCUGUUCCUUUUAUUUGGAGGUUAAACUUUGAAUGAGAACAACUUGGUCACAACACGCAUGAUGAGCUAACUAAGACUGAUUUGAUCUUCUGGUUUAGUUUUCUUCCUUAAUCCCACAUUAAUCUAUUGAAUUUACUUUGUUCACUGAUGGAUUCACAAGGAUAUGAAUAAUCAAUGAAUUAAUAUCUUUUGAGGUUAGAUUCCUGAUGCACUUAGCUAGAUAAACUAUAUUUUUAGUACAAGUUGAUUAGUGAAUUAACAUUGUGUGUUGAUGAAUAAAAUAAUAUGAAUAUUGUCAUGUUUGGCAUUUCAUCUCUCCAUGCUCUCCCAAGUGUCGCCUCCUCCCUUGAUUUAAUUUAUUAUUUAAUAAGAUUAAAAUAAUAUGCAUACAAGCAAAAACAUCCCUAAUAUUAAAAAAUGGUUGACCUGGUGGUAUGCUAUUUGAGCUCAUGUCAUGGAAUUAAAGAGGUUGAACUCAGCAGUCAAGUAUUAAUAGCAAACGACUUCAGUUCAGCAACAUGUAUUGGACAUUUGUUAGUCAAGUAGUAUCAUGAUUAGCUCAUGAAGGUAAAGGCUUUGUAUAGGGGGUCAAGGAAUUUUGGAGGUAAUUUACACAUAGUUGAGUUGACCAAUUGUUGGGUGGAGGAGUAGGAGGAUGAAGACAACGUUUGGGCGCCUAUGCGUUGCCUCAAGGGCCUUCUUGCCCUUCAUUGGCGUCCAGUAGGGCGCGUGCUCACUAAGGUUGACAUGUCCUGCCGGCUGUGGGGGCAUCAUGGUGAUGGUGGACAAUGGACAAAGAGGUGGAUCCCUGGCAGGAUCGUAUACAAUGUUUGUGUAUGCAUUGUGACGUCGGUGUGCAUUUGCAUGAUGAUGGGAUCAACUUUCUCUCCCCGUUGCAAGUCAAUUGCUUGCGUCGGUUCACCAUAACUCUCUAUUUUUUUAUGAUCAUUUCGUUCACCGUCAUCCUCUUUUUUUAUGAUCGUAUCGUAUGUUGACCCUCGCUGGUUUUCCGCUCAAUCCGUUUCUAAUGUUUGAGAUCGAACGAGAGAGACGAAUGAAUAGUAAGGCAAAAAUGCUUGAUCUCUUUCAUUAAUGAUUAGGCUUAUAUACAAUCUGAGAGGACGCAAUAGAGAGAUGCGUCCGUUCCCGAACAGCGCAUCGAGGGAUGCGAUUGUUGCGGGUGUCGGUUGGAACAAGGGGAGAUUUCCCUUUAAUUAAGUGUCAUAAUUAAAUCCUAACAAGAUCAUGUGUGUGAGCCAUGUGCCGAGGAUUAACAGGAGGCCUAAAUUGUUCGGAGAAUGUAUUUUUUCCUAAACCCUGGUGACUACCUAUCGGCUGUCAUUGUUCGAUAUCAUGUUGCUGGUAUGCGUUUUGGUGUAGCGAAGCACAAGUUGUCGUGCUACCACAUACACACCAAUUUAUUUUCCCGUUGCAACGCACGGUCAUAUUUCUUAGUCCUAGUCUCUCCCUAAUCUUUUCCUAAUUAAUAAUAAAGCACGGAUUGACUCCAUGGAUUCACCGUCACAAUACGCUUCUUCCCAUGAAUUUACGCUUUUAGUUUUCUUUCAACAUGUCUAUAUUUUUUCUAAAAUCCAAGGUGGUACUAAUCUAUCUAUGUUUAUAUGUAUAUAAGAAAAACCUGAGAAGGUAAAUCCUCUUUCUUUCCGUGUCCAACUAUGCCAGGUCGUCCGUCGUCCGUACUAUGCCAGGUCUUCUACGUCGUCCCGCGCACAUCCGACUUCUUUUCUACCGGUGCUGAUCGGACUGCUUUUCAUACCAGUGUCUAUCCGAUUUUUUUUGUAUAAAAGUGUAGGCACCUAUAACCUCCGUACCUGUCCUCUCGCUCCGUCCACGAAGAGGAGAGGAGUAUCUGCCCUAUGGACGCCGUCGCCGCACUCCUUUGUUGUCGUCGGACACCGACCCAGAGGUGCUUGCCCCUCGAGGUCGCGUUGACGCCGACUCGGCCACCUCCUAGGAUGCGGCUCCCCAAUGACACCGCGGCCCCAGGGUUCACACCGGUGCCGCCUCUCCAGUCCUGGCUUCAGCCCCUCUCACCGUAAACCUCAGCAAUGGCUCCUGCCCACGCCAAUACCCGCCGCCAUGAGCUGCGCACGGAUGCCCUAGAUGGCAGCUACGACGAUGGCCGAGACGCUUAUCCUCCACCGCUACCUCCUGAGAACCCGUGGGCCGUGGCGAGCUCCCUUCCCAGUUCCCACUACCCCGCCACCCUGGCCGGCUCGUGCACGUGACCAUGGUGAUGUAGGUUUGCAGGGGAUAUGAGUUGCUCUGAUUCCUGAACCCGUAGAAGCAGUGUCGCCUAGCUGGCGAUGCGGCAGGCACAAGGAAGAUCCUAUACUAAUCUUUCCCAUCCCCUUGCAGCAAGCUGCGUAGGCCCCCGCCACCGGGUCACAGCCUGAACGGAGCCCCAGUUGGCUCGCCCUUGCUCUCCACCUGUGGCGCCGGUGGCGUGUGCGCAACGGAUGAGGCCCCGCACUCACGCUGCCGCAGUGUGGAUGGAGCUCCGCCGAGUCCAUGAGCUCCCGAGCCGGGCGACGGCGCGUAUUGAUCUGAAAAAGGCCACCAACCCAAUGCAGCCUCUCCCCACUCCCUUUCUUCUCCAUAUUAUAAUAUCCUUUGAUAUCAAGUUCUAGCUGCACAUUAACCGAAGCAUCUCUUUUCUGAUCAGUUAUACAUCAAACAAAGCAUCACUUUUCUGAUCAAUUAAGGAAAACAUGUCAGGAUGGUUGAUGCUUGAUGCAGCGGAGAGUCACAUGUGCAUUGCCGACAGUUUCAAUUUAAUCGGGCUUCCGACUGGAGGAACAGAAGCGACUCUCCGUUCUCCAGCCAUUAAGUUCAUUACUGAAUAACAAAAUCAGCUUCAGACCUAAGGUUUGAUCAGGAAAAUUCAGCUAUGUCUAUCUAUGUGCAUUGGUCUUAAUUUUUUUAGAUGAGCAAAUUGUCUACUUCCAUAGGAAGUGGAUGGGAUGAUCUACAUAGCCUCCUGCAGCACCGGAUUCAAGGAAUCAGUACAACAGUGUGGCCUCUUACUAAGACAGUUCUCUCAUCUGAUCU